CAGUUACAUUUUUAUAACUCUUUUAUUUUCGUUAAGAAUUAAAGUCAUUUCGUUAAGAAUAUUGUAAAAAUCAAACCUUCGAGAAAGUAUAUAUAUAUAAUGAAGUCUACUUUGACACUACUUUGCUGUGUGUUGAUUCUAGUUGCGAAACCAGUAAAUGCCGUGUGGAUGAGAACUAUCUCGAGGAACGGUGGCGGAUAUUACUCACGCUACAACGAAAAGGCAUCACGAUCUUCAGAGCAGGAAUUGGACGAACAAGAAUUACUCAAUUUCAAAUUUAGUUCGCAAUAAAUUUGUUUACCUGUGCGUAAACUUACAGA